rnacentral:rRNA from 1 species
ACGGGCAGAACACCCGUUGAUAGGCGUUAAGUGGAAGUCCUGAGAGGGAUGAAGCUGAGGCGUACUAAUAGACCGAGGGCUUGACCUC